AUGACUAGAAGCAUCCAGUUGAGCGCUCUGUUUUGUCAUGCUCAGCCAAACACAUUAAUGACAUGUUCAGUCCUGUUACUAUCACAGGAACCCCGCAGGGUGUCUGACAUUGAUACCGUGAGGAAACAGAGCUGGCCUCAGUCCACUCACAAGGAGGAGAAAGGGAAAGAAGUUAAACGCAACUUUCCUGUGGGUGGUGUGUUUGCGGAGGAAAAAUAUCACUUCAUCCCCAAACACUGGCAUAUGCCCCAAAGUAUGACUACUCUUCAAAUCAUUAUUCUUUCUUACGGCUCAAAACACCAGAAAAAAGAGAAGAGCAGGACAACCACAAUAAUUUUCUCUGUGCAUGCAUGAAGGCCAUGACUGUCACUUUCCUUACAAGCAGUGAGGUUUAGGAAAGUUUGGUAUUAAAUUCAGUAGUAGUAGAGAUGGAUCAUGUAAGGCAGUACUCUCUCACCACAUUUUAGCAACUUUAACCAUAAGGUCACCUGAACCCGAAAUCAGUGGGAGUGCAAGGACUCGUCAAGCACUUUUAUCCACCAGGCCCAGAGCGCAUAACACUUUGCACACGCCAAUGGGUUUUGCCCAUCUUCCCUUUAAUGACUUGUCCCUGAGGAGGAAAGACAAACUUAAAUGGCAGCAUUUAACUGAAGAUCAGACUUUAUCCUGCUUCCAACAUAUUUCAAAGUAUAAUCAGAGACUGGCCACUAUCAACUCACUGUGAAAAAACAAGACAAGAGGACUUCAUGUGCCAUCAAUUCCAGUUCCCCUGCAGGUAGACAUUUAAUACAACUUCUUAUAAUUUGCUCAUGCAUACUGAUCAAGCCCUACAUCUGUGUAGGCAUUUCGCUUCUAUACCUGUCAGAAGGUUGUUCCAGAAGCUUCUUUGGCUCAUCCUUGGUAACCUUCAGUCUCUCGAGCUGGGCAAAUAUGCCUGAGUCUGAUUAUUCCUGUGACAACAUCAGUGUGAAUGUCAUUUUAUUUGCAUGAUCCCUAACCUGUAGAACAAAGAAUGGAACUGAAAGGCAAACAUGCUAAGAUGUGGAAAGAAAACAAACUCCUGGAGAGGAGUAUGAACUUUGGGAUAAGGAAACACGUCAAGAAGUGCAAGCAUGCCUGUAGAGUCAUGUUUCUCCCACUUCCUUGAAAUUAUUUUUAUGAACUAUCUUUUCAAAGUGUGGUUUCUGUUGUAGUAAAGCCAGAAAAAUAGUAAGAUGUGUUCAAGACAAAAUAUGUUAUGACAGGUGCAUUGCUAAUUCCUUCCUUUACAGAGGCCUGUAUUGUUUGAAAACAUUCCUCAGCAUUUUGUUUUAGCUCUACACUUUAAUGUCCCAGAAAGUUACAUCCCGAUAUGUUCUGUAUCGUUUUUAAAAGCAAAAAAUGGUACUGCCUAUUCUGGCACAGGUACUGCACCAUCCUGAAAGUACAUCUAACACAGAUCACCUGCAGAGAUCGGAGGUGAUGCAGAUGUUCCUCUGUCAAAGCCUGAACUACCGGUUUCUCCAGAGGAUGGCAUCCACAGAGCUCCAAGUGCAAAAGAUUGAUGGCAACCCCACUUUGGAUGAGGCAUGCCUUCAGCUUCCCUCAUCUUCACUUUCAUGGAUGCUGGUUACAAUUUAACUCUCAGACCUGAACCGUCGUGAAUAGAUGUACCUGGCAAAGCCCUGUUCAGCCAGAUGCUGUGCUGCAAAACCUUACCUACAGCUUGUCACAGUUUACUUACGGUCCUCGAUUUUUUUUCUCCCUGCUGAAUUACCCUCGAGGUGUGCUUACAUGUGACAUAUGCAGCUACUCUGUUAUAUGAACCGCAUUUUACUCGGCACUGAGCAAAAGGGUCUCCCAUGAGGCAAACAAACUGGCCUUAAGAGGCACGUUGUGAGCCUCGGUUGUGUUUAACCCCGUUCUUCAUGCAGCCGGCACCUGCGUGACAUGGGGCUC
rnacentral:lncRNA from 1 species